rnacentral:misc_RNA from 1 species
GAAAUGCGAUAAGUAAUGUGAAUUGCAUAAUUCAGUGAAUCAUCGAAUCUUUGAACGCACAUUGCGCCCGCCAGUAUUCUGGCGGGCAUGCCUGUUCGAGCGUCAUUACAACCCUCAGGCCCCCGGGCCUGGCGUUGGGGAUCGGCGGAAGCCCCCUGCGGGCACAACGCCGUCCCCCAAAUACAGUGGCGGUCCCGCCGCAGCUUCCAUUGCGUAGUAGCUAACACCUCGCAACUGGAGAGCGGCGCGGCCACGCCGUAAAACACCCAACUUCUGAAUGUUGACCUCGAAUCAGGUAGGAAUACCCGCUGAACUUAAGC